CCGCGGUAAUUCCAGCUCCAAUAGCGUAUAUUUAAGUUGUUGCAGUUAAAAAGCUCGUAGUUGGAUUUCGGGUGGGUUCCAGCGGUCUGCCUCUGGUAUGUACUGCUGUGGCCUACCUUUCUGCCGGGGACGUGUUCCUGGGCUUCAUUGUCCGGGACUCGAAUUCGGCGAGGAUACUUUGAGUAAAACAGCGUGUUCAAAGCAAGCCUACGCUCUGAAUGCAUUAGCAUGGAAUAUCACGAUAGGACUCUGGCCUAUCUUGUUGGUCUGUAGGACCGGAGUAAUGAUUAAGAGGGACAGUCGGGGGCAUUCGUAUUUCAUUGUCAGAGGUGAAAUUCUUGGAUUUAUGAAAGACGAACUUCUGCGAAAGCAUUUGCCAAGGAUGUUUUCAUUAAUCAAGAACGAAAGUUGGGGGCUCGAAGACGAUUAGAUACCGUCGUAGUCUCAACCAUAAACGAUGCCCUGCCCUUU
rnacentral:rRNA from 1 species